AUUGAACGCUGGCGGCAGGCUUAACACAUGCAAGUCGAACGAGUGGCGGACGGGUGAGUAAUGCUUGGGAAUCUAGCUUAUGGAGGGGGAUAACUACGGGAAACUGUAGCUAAUACCGCGUACCAUAGGAUGAGCCCAAGGGGGAUUAGGUAGUUGGUGAGGUAAAGGCUCACCAAGCCGACGAUCUCUAGCUGGUCUGAGAGGAUGACCAGCCACACUGUGACUGAGACACGGCCCAGACUCCUAGGGGAGGCAGCAGGGGGGAAUAUUGCGCAAUGGGGGCAACCUGACGCAGCCAUGCCGCGUGAAUGAAGAAGGCCUUCGGGUUGUAAAGUUCUUUCGGUAGCGAGGCGUUCCCUACCUCCGAAGCACCGGCUAACUCCGUGCCAGCAGCCGCGGUAAUAC
rnacentral:rRNA from 1 species